UUUCUUUUUUUUUUUUUUUUUCUAUUUUUUUUUUUUAAAUUCUGAAGCCAGACCGUCUUUCCUCACAGCUCCACGGCUGCAUCUCCGUGGGCACGCAAGCUUCCCCUGGUUACCUGAGCUGCUCCUGCCGUCUCCCGCCUGGGCUUCGCCGUGGUGCACCCGAUCCCGGAAUCGUGCGUCUGCGCCCUGCGAAAGAAGGACCUGCUGGCGGAGCUCCGGCCGGGGUCUCCUGCCUCGCAGCUGGGCGAGGGGACUUGGAGGACAGGGUGAAGCUGCAGAAGACCUGGGGUGGGAUGGCUAGAGAGGACGCCAAGGACUGGGGAAGGGGAAGUUAGGAAUACCUUACAUCCAAUGCCCACCCGUGCUCCGCAGGGCAAGGGCAGCCGUCGCCUCGGCCGCGUGCACCCAGCUCAGGCUGUUCCCAGGGAUUUAGUCUGGGGGGACAACCCAUGGCGAGAUGUGGUGGCAUUUUACCUCAGAGUGGAGCUGAAGAUGGAUAAACAAGGUAUCUGAUGUAUCUGCCUGAGAAGGCAGAGCUGGAGAAAGGCGGAGCGAGGGAGCGCGUGAAAAGAAAGAGAUGCCGAAUGCCGGGUGAUUGUCUGCCGCUUGCUGUGCAUUCUCAUUCUAGGGAGGAUGGCAUAAUUUAUAACCCAGCACAUGGAUAGAGGAACUGUAAAUUGUAGUCUGGAUGUCCCCGGCGCUGUCGACGAAGGAACUGAUGGGCUAGGCUCACAGGCAGAAGGAAUUUUCCUUGUCUUGGAUGAGACUUUUGACUUGGACUUUUGGGUUAAGUUGGAAAACUUUAAUAUGAGAUUGAAGAUAUGAUUUGCUUUCUGGAUUGUUGUAUGCUACUAAAACCGAAGAAAGAGAAGGAAAAAUGGAUGAAUCGACGGACCAUAUCACCCUGGCACCUAUAUCAGCUCAAAAACUGAAGGAAAUACCCCUUUCCUGCCCUCUCUUUGACUAAUGCUAUAGACUCUGAGUCAGUAGUUCCUGGUGGGACCUGAGAGUCCACAUUCCUGAUGAGCUCCAGGUGUUCCCAUGCUGCUGCCCCUCUGACCACACUUAGAAUAAGAAGGCUUGAAAUGAAAUCUGAGAAAUCAGCCUCUUGAUUCCAAUUUUAAACAUGCAAUUGAUUCUUGUAAUUUUUCAUUCUUGUCAAAAUGCAUACCAGUAAGUUUGUAAUCAGUAUUGGCAUGCUUAAAAGAAUUUAAGACUUGUUAUAUUUGUCAUUUUAAUUUAUUUAAACUUUAAAGAUUUGUUCAGAACUUGGAAAGAUUUUGCUUAAGCUCAUAAAUUUACCCACUCAGGCAUAUGAGAUAGGGUACUUUGAUUUAUAAAUGAAGUUUAAAAUUAAGGGAAUUUAAUUAAGUUUUCAAAAUGAGAUUGGUUGUUUUAAGGGGAAUUUACUUUGUGUAACUUGAGUUCAUCAAACGCUAAUCCAAGUUCCCUGCAAAACCUGUUCUGUUUUAUAUAACAUUUACUCGUUUUAGAAAUAGAUGAGAUUUGCAAAUUGAACCUAAAGACUUAAGGCAAAUUAUGUAUCUUUUUAUACUUUAAUAAAGAAAAAUAAAAUAAAUUUGAAACACAAAUAACUCUAACUGGCCCUUUUUAUGUAAAAAGAAGUCCUUGAAUAAAAUUUACCUUGACAGCACUAGCAA
rnacentral:lncRNA from 1 species